rnacentral:rRNA from 1 species
AAGGGACACGAGAGUUUGAGCUCGGCUCAGAAUCGUAAACGGGAACCCCGAAAAUUUAGGGGGCACGGGUGAUUGUGUCUGGGAAACUGCCCGAUGGAGGGGGAUAACUACUGGAAACGGUAGCUAAUACCGCAUAACGUCGCAAGACCAAAGAGGGGGACCUUCGGGCCUCUUGCCAUCGGAUGUGCCCAGAUGGGAUUAGCUAGUAGGUGGGGUAAAGGCUCACCUAGGCGACGAUCCCUAGCUGGUCUGAGAGGAUGACCAGCCACACUGGAACUGAGACACGGUCCAGACUCCUACGGGAGGCAGCAGUGGGGAAUAUUGCACAAUGGGCGCAAGCCUGAUGCAGCCAUGCCGCGUGUAUGAAGAAGGCCUUCGGGUUGUAAAGUACUUUCAGCGGGGAGGAAGGGAGUAAAGUUAAUACCUUUGCUCAUUGACGUUACCCGCAGAAGAAGCACCGGCUAACUCCGUGCCAGCAGCCGCGGUAAUACUGAGGGUGCAAGCGUUAAUCGGAAUUACUGGGCGUAAAGCGCACGCAGGCGGUUUGUUAAGUCAGAUGUGAAAUCCCCCGGGCUCAACCUGGGAACUGCAUCUGAUACUGGCAAGCUUGAGUCUCGUAGAGGGGGGUAGAAUUCCAGGUGUAGCGGUGAAAUGCGUAGAGAUCUGGAGGAAUACCGGUGGCGAAGGCGGCCCCCUGGACGAAGACUGACGCUCAGGUGCGAAAGCGUGGGGAGCAAACAGGAUUAGAUACCCUGGUAGUCCACGCCGUAAACGAUGUCGACUUGGAGGUUGUGCCCUUGAGGCGUGGCUUCCGGAGCUAACGCGUUAAGUCGACCGCCUGGGGAGUACGGCCGCAAGGUUAAAACUCAAAUGAAUUGACGGGGGCCCGCACAAGCGGUGGAGCAUGUGGUUUAAUUCGAUGCAACGCGAAGAACCUUACCUGGUCUUGACAUCCACGGAAGUUUUCAGAGAUGAGAAUGUGCCUUCGGGAACCGUGAGACAGGUGAUGCAUGGCUGUCGUCAGCUGGUGUUGUGAAAUGUUGGGUUAAGUCCCGCAACGAGCGCAACCCUUAUCCUUUGUUGCCAGCGGUCCGGCCGGGAACUCAAAGGAGACUGCCAGUGAUAAACUGGAGGAAGGUGGGGAUGACGUCAAGUCAUCAUGGCCCUUACGACCAGGGCUACACACGUGCUACAAUGGCGCAUACAAAGAGAAGCGACCUCGCGAGAGCAAGCGGACCUCAUAAAGUGCGUCGUAGUCCGGAUUGGAGUCUGCAACUGGACUCCAUGAAGUCGGAAUCGUUAGUAAUCGUGGAUCAGAAUACCACGGAAAAUACGUUCCCGGGCUUUGUACACCCCCCCCAACUCAAACCAAGGGCCCUAUAGGUUUGUUCCCGGCUCGAAAAGUUGUAACAAGGGACCAAUAGAGUUUUAGC